UGAUCCUGGCUCAGAAUGAACGCUGGCGGCAUGCCUAACACAUGCAAGUCGAACGAGAUCUUCGGAUCUAGUGGCGCACGGGUGAGUAACGCGUGGGAACCUACCUUUUAGUACGGGACAACGUUUGGAAACGAACGCUAAUACCGUAUACGCCCUCCGGGGGAAAGGUCAGCCGCUAAAAGAGGGGCCCGCGUCUGAUUAGCUUGUUGGUAAGGUAAUGGCUUACCAAGGCUACGAUCAGUAGCUGGUCUGAGAGGAUGAUCAGCCACACUGGGACUGAGACACGGCCCAGACUCCUACGGGAGGCAGCAGUGGGGAAUAUUGGACAAUGGAGGCAACUCUGAUCCAGCAAUGCCGCGUGUGUGAUGAAGGCCCUAGGGUUGUAAAGCACUUUCAACGGUGAAGAUGAUGACGGUAGCCGUAGAAGAAGCCCCGGCUAACUUCGUGCCAGCAGCCGCGGUAAUACGAAGGGGGCGAGCGUUAUCCGGAAUUAUUGGGCGUAAAGGGCUCGCAGGCUGCUUGAACAGUUAGACGUGAAAUCCCCGGGCUCAACCUGGGAACUGCGUUUAAUACUAGCAAGCUAGAGAAAUAGAGAGGAAAGUGGAACUCCCAGUGUAGAGGUGAAAUUCGUAGAUAUUGGGAAGAACACCAGUGGCGAAAGCGACUUUCUGGCUAUUUUCUGACGCUGAGGAGCGAAAGCGUGGGGAGCAAACAGGAUUAGAUACCCUGGUAGUCCACGCCGUAAACGAUGUGUGCUAGAUGUUGGAGGGAUACCUUUCAGUGUCGCAGCUAACGCACUAAGCACACCGCCCGGGAAGUACGGUCGCAAGAUUAAAACUCAAAGGAAUUGACGGGGGCCCGCACAAGCGGUGGAGCAUGUGGUUUAAUUCGACGCAACGCGCAGAACCUUACCAGCCCUUGACAUGUGGAGUUUGGUUAUCAGAGAUGAUUUCCUUCAGUUCGGCUGGCUCCAACACAGGUGCUGCAUGGCUGUCGCCAGCUCGUGUCGUGAGAUGUUGGGUUAAGUCCCGCAACGAGCGCAACCCUCAUCUUUAGUUGCCAUCAGUUCGGCUGGGCACUCUAGAGAAACUGCCUGGGAUGACCAGGAGGAAGGCGAGGAUGACGUCAAGUCCUCAUGGCCCUUAUGGGCUGGGCUACACACGUGCUACAAUGGCGGUGACAAAGGGACGCAAUAGGGCGACCUGGAGCAAAUCCCUAAAAGCCGUCUCAGUUCGGAUUGUUCUCUGCAACUCGAGAGCAUGAAGUUGGAAUCGCUAGUAAUCGUAGAUCAGCAUGCUACGGUGAAUACGUUCCCGGGCCUUGUACACACCGCCCGUCACACCAUGGGAGUUGGUUUUACCCGAAGACGGUAUCCUAACCUUUUAGGAGGGAGCCGGCCACGGUAGGGUCAGCGACUGGGGUGAAGUCGUAACAAGGUAACC
rnacentral:rRNA from 1 species